UACGAAGGGGGCUAGCGUUGCUCGGAAUCACUGGGCGUAAAGCGCACGUAGGCGGAUUGUUAAGUCAGGGGUGAAAUCCUGGAGCUCAACUCCAGAACUGCCUUUGAUACUGGCGAUCUCGAGUCCGGGAGAGGUGAGUGGAACUGCGAGUGUAGAGGUGAAAUUCGUAGAUAUUCGCAAGAACACCAGUGGCGAAGGCGGCUCACUGGCCCGGUACUGACGCUGAGGUGCGAAAGCGUGGGGAGCAAAGCAGG
rnacentral:rRNA from 1 species